UACGUAGGUGGCAAGCGUUGUCCGGAUUUAUUGGGUUUAAAGGGUGCGUAGGCGGUCUUAUAAGUCAGUGGUGAAAUACGGCAGCUCAACUGUCGAGGUGCCAUUGAUACUGUAGGACUUGAGUACAGACGAGGUAGGCGGAAUUGACGGUGUAGCGGUGAAAUGCUUAGAUAUCGUCAAGAACACCGAUAGCGAAGGCAGCUUACUAGGCUGUAACUGACGCUGAGGCCCGAAAGUGUGGGGAUCAAACAGG
rnacentral:rRNA from 1 species